rnacentral:rRNA from 1 species
UACAGAGGGUGCAAGCGUUAAUCGGAUUUACUGGGCGUAAAGCGUGUGUAGGUGGUCAAGAAAGUCGGUUGUGGAAUCCCUGGGCUCAACCCGGGAACUGCUUCCGAUACUUCAUGACUCGAAUUCGGUAGAGGGAGGCGGAACUCCAGGUGUAGCGGUGAAAUGCGUAGAUAUCUGGAAGAACACCAAUGGCGAAGGCAACCUCCUGGGCCUGAAUUGACACUGAGACACGAAAGCGUGGGGAUCAAACAGG